UACGUAGGCAGCGAGCGUUGUUCGGAGUUACUGGGCGUAAAGGGUGUGUAGGCGGUUGUUUAAGUUUGGGGUGAAAUCUCCCGGCUCAACCGGGAGGGUGCGCCGAAUACUGAAUGACUUCGAGUGCGGGAGAGGAAAGUGGAAUUCCUGGUGUAGCGGUGAAAUGCGUAGAUAUCAGGAGGAACACCGGUGGUGUAGACGGCUUUCUGGACCGUAACUGACGCUGAGACACGAAAGCGUGGGUAGCAAACAGG
rnacentral:rRNA from 1 species